UGAGUACGAGAUGCUACGGCAUCGAAGCAGUCUAUGUCAUACUUCCAAGAAAAGCUUGCACUGUCAUAAACAAAGAAUGCCUGUACCAUAACCGACACAGGUGGGUAGGUAGAGUAUACUAAGGGGCGCGAGAUAACUCUCUCUAAGGAACUCGGCAAAAUGACUCCGUAACUUCGGGAGAAGGAGUGCCUUAUUUCUAAGGUUGCAAUAACAAGAUCCAAGCAACUGUUUACCAAAAACACAGGUCUCCGCUAAGUCGUAAGACGAUGUAUGGGGGCUGACGCCUGCCCAGUGCCAGAAGGUUAAAGAAGUUGGUUAGCAUUAGCGAAGCUGAUAACUGAAGCCCUGGUGAACGGCGGCCGUAACAAUAACGGUCCUAAGGUAGCGCAAUUCCUUGUCGGGUAAGUUCCGACCCGCACGAAAGGCGUAAUGAUUUGGAUACUGUCUCGGAGAGGGGCUCGGUGAAAUAGACUUGUCUGUGAAGAUGCGGACUACCUGCACCUGGACAGAAAGACCCUAUGAAGCUUUACUGUAACUUGAGAUUGAAAUUGGACUUUAUUUGCGCAGUAUAGGUGGGAGGCGUUGAGAAUAAUCUUGCGGGAUUGUUGGAGCCAUCAGUGAGAUACCACUCUUGUAAUGUUAGAUUUCUAACUUUGUAUCAUUAUCUGGUCAAAGAACAGUUUCAGGCGGGCAGUUUGACUGGGGCGGUCGCCUCCCAAAGGGUAACGGAGGCGCACAAAGGUUUCCUCUGAACGGGUAGAAAUCGUAUCUAGAGUGUAAAGGCAUAAGGAAGCUUGACUGUGAGACCUACAAGUCGAGCAGGGACGAAAGUCGGUCUUAGUGAUCUGACGGUGCUGAGUGGAAAGGCCGUCACUCAACGGAUAAAAGUUACUCUAGGAUAACAGGCUGAUCUCCCCCAAGAGUUCACAUCGACGGGGAGGUUUGGCACCUCGAUGUCGGCUCAUCGCAUCCUGGGGCGGUAGUCCGUCCCAAGGGUUGGGCUGUUCGCCCAUGAAAGCGGUACGCGAGCUGGGUUCAGAACGUCGUGAGACAGUUCGGUCCAUAUCCGGUGUAGGCGUUAGAAUAUUGAGAGGAGCCUUCUCUAGUACGAGAGGACCGAGAAGGACAUACCUCUGGUGUACCAGUUAUCGUGCCAACGGUAAACGCUGGGUAGCUAUGUAUGGAGUGGAUAACCGCAGAAAGCAUCUAAGUGGGAAGCCCACCUCAAGAUAAG
rnacentral:rRNA from 1 species